rnacentral:pre_miRNA from 1 species
AAAAAGACAAACCCUGGUUUCCGUGUCCAAUGUUUGACCGUUCGUCUUAUUUGAAAAAAUUAUAAAAAAAAAUUAAAAAGACAAGUCACGCAUAAAAUAUUAAUCAUGUUUUAUCAUCUAACAACAAUGAAAAUACGAAUUAUAAAAAAAUUUCAUAUAAGACGGACAGUCAAAGUUGGACACGGAAACCUAGGGUUUGCCUUUUU